rnacentral:rRNA from 1 species
CUUAAAUGAAUUGACGGGGAGCACCACACGGGUGGAGCUUGCGGUUUAAUUGGAUUCAACGCCGGAAAUCUUACCGGGACCGACAGCAAUAUGAAGGCCAGGCUGAAGACUUUGCCGGAUUAGCUGAGAGGUGGUGCAUGGCCGUCGUCAGUUCGUACUGUGAAGCAUCCUGUUAAGUCAGGCAACGAGCGAGACCCACGCCCACAGUUGCCAGCGUACUCUCUGGAGUGACGGGUACACUGUGGGACCGCCGCUGCUAAAGCGGAGGAAGGAAUGGGCAACGGUAGGUCAGUAUGCCCCGAAUAUCCCGGGCUACACGCGAGCUACAAUGGUUGGUACAAUGGGUAUCUACCCCGAAAGGGGACGGGAAUCUCCUAAAACCAAUCUUAGUUCGGAUUGAGGGCUGCAACUCGCCCUCAUGAAGCUGGAAUCCGUAGUAAUCGCGUUUCAACAGAACGCGGUGAAUACGUCCCUGCUCCUU